CCGGCACGGGUGAGUAACACGUAUCCAACCUGCCGUCUACUCUUGGACAGCCUUCUGAAAGGAAGAUUAAUACAAGAUGGCAUCAUGAGUCCGCAUGUUCACAUGAUUAAAGGUAUUCCGGUAGACGAUGGGGAUGCGUUCCAUUAGUUUGUUGGCGGGGUAACGGCCCACCAAGACUACGAUGGAUAGGGGUUCUGAGAGGAAGGUCCCCCACAUUGGAACUGAGACACGGUCCAA
rnacentral:rRNA from 1 species